rnacentral:rRNA from 1 species
ACGCCAGACUCCUACGGGAGGCAGCAGUAGGGAAUCUUUCACAAUGGGCGAAAGCCUGAUGGAGCAACGCCGCGUGCAGGAUGAAGGCCUUCGGGUUGUAAACUGCUUUUAUAAGCGAGAAAUAUGAUGGUAACUUAUGAAUAAGGAUCGGCUAACUACGUGCCAGCAGCCGCGGUAAUACGUAGGGGGCGAGCGUUAUCCGGAUUCACUGGGUGUAAAGGGAGCGUAGACGGCCAUGCAAGCCAGGGGUGAAAGGCCGGGGCCCAACCCCGGGACUGCCCUUGGAACUGCAUGGCUGGAGUGCGGGAGGGGCAGGCGGAAUUCCUGGUGUAGCGGUGAAAUGCGUAGAUAUCAGGAGGAACACCGGUGGCGAAGGCGGCCUGCUGGACUGCAACUGACGUUGAGGCCCGAAAGCGUGGGGAGCAAACAGGAUUAGAUACCCCGGUAA